rnacentral:rRNA from 1 species
GAUCAUGGCUCAGGACGACGCUGGCGGCGUGCUUCAUACAUGCAAGUCGAACGAGAAUCUGGUGCUUGCACCAGAGGAAAGUGGCGGACGGGUGAGUAAUAUGUAGAGAAUCUGCCCUUUAGCGGGGGACAACAGUUGGAAACGACUGCUAAUACCCCAUAUGAGCGUAACUGAAAUGUUAUUCUUGAAAACUCCGGUGCUAAAGGAUGAGUCUGCAUCUGAUUAGCUAGUUGGCGGUGUAAUGGACCACCAAGGCGACGAUCAGUAGCUGGUUUGAGAGGAUGAUCAGCCACAAUGGGACUGAGACACGGCCCAUACUCCUACGGGAGGCAGCAGUAGGGAAUUUUGCGCAAUGGGCGAAAGCCUGAACCGCAGCAACGCCGCGUGACCGAAGAAGCCCUUCGGGGUGUAAAGGUCUGUCAGUGGGGACGAAACUUGACGGUACCCACAGAGGAAGCAUCGGCUAACUCCGUGCCAGCAGCUGC